rnacentral:rRNA from 1 species
AUGCAGAUUCCCCGUUCUGUUCUACGCCCCCUCCGACGCCCUAACGUCGCCGCCCCAAUAAUGCACCGCCUCGCCUCUCCCUCGCGACGCCUCCUCUCCUCCAUGGCAUCUCGCUGGUGGCCACCAGCGCUUGCGCGACGACUCGACCCGCCUGUCCGUCGUGCUUCCUCCGAGGUCACAGAUGGGAAACUCGGUGGCAGUCUGGAAGAUCCAAGGAGCGCAGCCAAGGGUCGUACGACUGAAAUCUUGAUCACGGAGGACGAAGAAGAAGUCAGCGACAUCGAUUACACCGUGGAAGUUAAUGGUAUUCCACAGAGCAGUCACCGUGAUGGCUCUAUCUACAGGGGCAUGCGUCGUUCUGGCUGGAAAAGGGAUUAUCGCGUCGCAGACCGGAGCGAGAGUAAGGCAUCUUCAACAGAUGACCACCACGUAAGCGUGGCCGCCUUGUCCUGCUGCACCGUCGUCGGCGCCUGUACCGCCGUCUUCGUCAUUGUCGUCCCUCCAGCGGCGCAAGGAUGUCGGAGGGCCACCCUAGCCACUGCUAAAGGCGCUGGCAGCGGCCUUGCCCCUGUCAGCGUUGGCGGAGCAAUCGCCAAGCGACCACUCCUUGCCAAUCUUGGGGUGCUCGCCGUCAAGGCGGCGGUGCCUGGUGGCCGUCUCCAUGGUGGUGACGGAGCGGUGGAGCGCCCACGCCGCGGCGAGCCUUGGAUACCACGGCUCGAGAGCCGGAGGCACUGCCGAAACCACCGCCUCCGAGGUAGUGGAGGACGCGAUUACGCGCCUUGGCGGUCGUGGGUGGUAGCACCUCCUUCAUCUGCCGGCAGUGGCAUCGUGGUGGUUCCGAGGGCCCGUCGAUCCGCACGUAGCGGCCGUGCGGCAGGGGUGACGCCGACUCGUCCUUCACGCGGCAGAAGCGCUAGAGAUGUCGGCUCCUGCUUCACGCGGCCGGCGAUGUGGAGGCCGUGGUUGCACGGUGGGACGCCGGCUCGUCCUUCACUUGCCGGAGUGGGGAUGUCGGCUCCUGCUUAA